GGCUCCAUCCACAAAGGGUUAGGCCACCGGCUUCGGGUGCUACCCACUUUCAUGACUUGACGGGCGGUGUGUACAAGGCCCGGGAACGCAUUCACCGCGGCGUUGCUGAUCCGCGAUUACUAGCGACUCCGCCUUCAUGGAGUCGGGUUGCAGACUCCAAUCCGAACUGAGACCGGUUUUCAGGGAUCCGCUCCACGUCACCGUGUCGCAUCCCGUUGUACCGGCCAUUGUAGCAUGCGUGAAGCCCUGGACGUAAGGGGCAUGAUGAUCUGACGUCAUCCCCACCUUCCUCCGAGUUGACCCCGGCGGUCCCCCGUGAGUUCCCACCAUGACGUGCUGGCAACACAGGGCGAGGGUUGCGCUCGUUGCGGGACUUAACCCAACAUCUCACGACACGAGCUGACGACGACCAUGCACCACCUGUGAACCCGCCCCGAAGGGAGGCCAUAUCUCUACGGCUGUCGGGAACAUGUCAAGCCCAGGUAAGGUUCUUCGCGUUGCAUCGAAUUAAUCCGCAUGCUCCGCCGCUUGUGCGGGCCCCCGUCAAUUUCUUUGAGUUUUAGCCUUGCGGCCGUACUCCCCAGGCGGGAUGCUUAACGCGUUAGCUCCGACACGGAACCCGUGGAACGGGCCCCACAUCCAGCAUCCACCGUUUACGGCGUGGACUACCAGGGUAUCUAAUCCUGUUCGCUCCCCACGCUUUCGCUCCUCAGCGUCAGUAACGGCCCAGAGACCUGCCUUCGCCAUUGGUGUUCUUCCCGAUAUCUACACAUUCCACCGUUACACCGGGAAUUCCAGUCUCCCCUACCGCACUCCAGCCCGCCCGUACCCGGCGCAGAUCCACCGUUAAGCGAUGGACUUUCACACCGGACGCGACGAACCGCCUACGAGCCCUUUACGCCCAAUAAUUCCGGAUAACGCUUGCACCCUACGUAUUACCGCGGCUGCUGGCACGUAGUUAGCCGGUGCUUAUUCGAAAGGUACACUCACCCGAAGGCUUGCUCCCGAUCAAAAGCGGUUUACAACCCGAAGGCCGUCAUCCCGCACGCGGCGUCGCUGCAUCAGGCUUGCGCCCAUUGUGCAAUAUUCCCCACUGCUGCCUCCCGUAGGAGUCUGGGCCGUAUCUCAGUCCCAAUGUGGCCGGUCGCCCUCUCAGGCCGGCUACCCGUCGUAGGCUCGGUGGGCCGUUACCCCGCCGACUACCUGAUAGGACGCGACCCCAUCCCAUACCGAUGAAAUCUUUCCCGACACCCCAUGCGAGGAGUCGGAGCAUCCGGCAUUACCACCCGUUUCCAGGAGCUAUUCCGGUGUAUGGGGCAGGUCGGUCACGCAUUACUCACCCGUUCGCCACUCUCACCACCAAGCAAAGCCUGAUGGAUCCCGUCGACUGCA
rnacentral:rRNA from 1 species